rnacentral:rRNA from 1 species
CCUACGGGAGGCAGCAGUAGGGAAUAUUGCUCAAUGGGGGAAACCCUGAAGCAGCAACGCCGCGUGGAGGAUGAAGGUUUUCGGAUUGUAAACUCCUUUUGUUAGAGAAGAUAAUGACGGUAUCUAACGAAUAAGCACCGGCUAACUCCGUGCCAGCAGCCGCGGUAAUACGGAGGGUGCAAGCGUUACUCGGAUUCACUGGGCGUAAAGAGCGCGUAGGCGGGAUAGCAAGUCAGAUGUGAAAUCCUAGGGCUUAACCAUAGAACUGCAUUUGAAACUGUUAUUCUAGAGUAUGGGAGGGGUAGGUGGAAUUCUUGGUGUAGGGGUAAAAUCCGUAGAGAUCAAGAGGAAUACUCAUUGCGAAGGCGACCUGCUAGAACAUAACUGACGCUGAUGCGCGAAAGCGUGGGGAGCAAACAGGAUUAGAUACCCCGGUAGUC